CCUGGAGACACUUUAUCUUUUAUGAACUAAAAAUGCUAUACUAUGGAAGUAAUCAGUAAAUGUUUUCCCAGUUAUCUGAAGGAGCUUCAAGCCUUGUCCUGCACCAUCUACCUGUGAAUUACUUUCCUUUUGAAACACAUCUCACUGGUGUUACAAGAAAACACUUUAAACUCGUGGAGUCAUUCUCGCCAUAAAUAAAGAACAACAUAUGUUGUAUAGUCACACUCCAGUGUUUUAUAUUUUUCUUCAAGAAGAACCUUUAGCAAUUAGCUUGUCGUUGAAGUCCACAAUGUACACACACAGAGAACAGAAUGUUCUAGAUGGGGAGGGGACUUGUCAGUAGCUGAUCAAGGAUUUAUAUUUUUAAUCUUAAAUAUGAUUUAAUGCUCUGUGAAAAGAAUUAAGAAUCCCAUUUUACACUGAAGCAUGUUCUUAAUGUGCAUAUAAAAACCUCAGCAGUUUUAUUGACAGUUAUAAAUUCACAGCUGCUGUUGGUGAUUUUUUUUUAAAAAAAACCUGCUUCCAUUUCCCUAGUUCUUUGCAGACCAUUGUCAUAGUUUGCUAUUAGCUAAGGAAGAACCUUAUUUAGCAGAAAUGCAUUGGACUUCAAUUUCACUGUAUACAUCAGGAAGAAAAGAAAAUCAAUGUGAAGCCCAGACUCAGUCUGCUGAUGCCGGAGAUGACUAUCUAUAGAAUAUAGAAAGGAAACCAGGCUCAGAUUAUUUUUUUUCUUACCGUUUGGAUGCUAAAAAUGACAGAAGGAGGUUACUGCUAGUGGGAGUUGUUAUGACUAUUAUCUUCUGUUCAGAUUUGAGGUUAAGCCUGGAGACUGUCAGUGUGUGCAUCAAAUAUUUCAAGUACCUAGUAGUAAUUUCUAGUUAAUUGAUAGAAGGAUGACUAUUAAGAAACAAUAUAUGCAGUUGCAGUUUCACGUUUGCAUUGCACAUCCAUUGUGUGCAUGCAUCGAUGAUUCCCAUGUAUUCAGGGAUAUGUCUGUACGUAUAUAUAAAUCAUAUCUAUGUUUACGUAUGUAUGUAUACAUUUAUCUAACCUUCUGGUCUAUUUAUAUAUAAGAAUGGGGGUCUGAAUGACUCUAAAUUGUGAAUCCAUGAAAAGUAUAAAUAUCUGGUCAAAAAGAGGUGAAGAUAAUUUUUAUUUCUAAACAGGAUGUUUGAAAAACAUGACACCCAGCUUGCAGAGCUGGGGACUGUUGCAGCUUCACAAGUGGGGUCCCUGUCUUGUACAUUGCAAACACAACUGUAGCUACAGCAGCAGUGACCUAAAGCUGAUGAUAACUGAUUUGUGUGAAGAUUUGUGUGAUGCUGUUAAUUUCUGGUCUCAGUGUAGCUUCUGUUAAAUUUACUGUCACUAAGAGGUAUUCCUAUAAAUGAUGGCCUUAAGGCUGGCUGAAAAUAAGAAAGAGAUUUUGUGAUUUUUUUCUCAAAAUUCUUGUAUGUUUACUGCAAAAAAAAAAAAAAAAGUUUCAUUGAAUUCAA